GCUAGGGUGGCUCAGUGGUUGAGCAUCUGCCUUUGGCUCAGGUUGUGAUCCCAGAGUUCUGGGAUUGAGUCCUGCAUCAGGAUCCCCAUGGGGAGUCAAAUUCUCCCUCUACCU
rnacentral:tRNA from 1 species